GCCAAAGUUGUUUAGUGGUUUGUGUGCUGGGCUAGGACUCUGGAGACCAGGGUUCGAAUCCCUGCUCAGCCA